UGUUCCCCAUAUUUUCACUGUCAUAGAAAGUUUUAUAGACAGAUUUUUAUUAUAAUUUGUAAUAUUUCUUUAUCUUAUGUCUGUCUGUGUGUUAGCUGAACUCCAGCGGAUCCUCAAUCGAGGGAACUCCCACUUCAUAACUGAAAUGAAGACCCGGUGGGGGGACUUUUAUGCCAAGGCCCAGUUUUAUGGAGUGUUCAAAAAAGUCAUGAGGCCUCAACUGCUGGACAAAGGUGAAUGACUCGACAUCAUUGCAAAUGAGGGUCACCUCUCAUUUGAUCUCUCGAGUAUAAAUAAAGGUUAAAUGAAUACCGACUGAUAAUGGAUAAUUCCAUAAAAGUAUUAAUGUUUGUUUAAUAACUGGCUGCAGGAAAACAAGGAGACUAUUUUUGUUUUUAACAGCAAAGCAGUCCCUCACCAUGCUGAAGGCUUUGCCAGACAUGUUCCCAUCACCUGUGGUUCCACCCAAGAGGUUAGGACAUGCUAGUGAGGCUAUGCUUCACGUCCUUGAGUCUACAGAAGACCCCAACACCUUUCUUCAGACCAGACCGCUCUCCAGCCCUGUCGUCGUUGUCUGCGAAACGAACUGCAUCCUGGCCAUUGGAACAAUGCCUGUUCUAGUCUUCGCAAAAGAGGACAUCUAUGACUGUGUGAUGUAUCUCAUGGCAUGUUAUUAUGCUUUUCAUCUCACGUAUCCUAAAUGCAACACUCCUGUCUGUGCUGCAGACCGAAGUCCCCUUGGACGCCAUCCACGACCGUGAUACGACUUCUUCCUACAAAAAGGCUAUGGCAGAGUGGAAAAAGUUCACUGAGUAGGGUUGUACAUGUAAUGUGACACUUUUUUAUUAUUAUUAUUGUUAUUAUUUGUUAUACUUUGUUGGGGAUUUUUUUUUUUGAAGGAACACAAAUCACAGCUGAAAAAGUGAUAAUGUGACACAUUUCUGUGUAUCCCCUUAAGAUGAGUAAGUAAAUUAAGUAAGUAAGUAAAAUGUAUAUAUAAGGCACAUUUAAAAACAGUUUUCACUGGCCAAAGUGCCGUACAUGGUGCAAAGAGGAAUAUAAAGGAACACAUACCACAUACAUAGACAAAAAAAACAUAUAAAAUAAACGACAUAUCACAAAAGGGGAGGAAAGGCCAGGGAGAAAAGGUGUGUUUUAAGCCUAGAUUUAAAAAUGGUGAUGGAAGGAGCGUUUCUGACUGCAGGCGGCAGCUCGUUCCAAAGGCAGGGGGCAGCCACAGCAAAAGCCCUGUCACCCCUCUGUUUCAGCCUAGUGCGUGGAACGUGUAGGAGACCCAAGCUACCUGAUCUAAGGGACCUGGGUGCUGAGUGGUGGUGGAUGAGCUCUGUGAUGUAGGGCGGGGCCAGGCCAUUUAGGGCUUUAAAAACCAUCAGUAGGGUUUUAAAAUGAAUUCUGUGCUGGAUGGGCAACCAGUGGAGGGAUGCUAGGAUGGGGGUUAUAUGAUCCCGCUUUCUGGAUCCAGUCAGCAGCCUUGCUGCGGAGCUCUGGACCAACUGAAGGCGAGAGAGGAGUGAUUGAGGGAGUCCAAGGUAAAGGGAGUUGCAGUAAUCCAGCCGUGAUGUGAUGAAGGCGUGUA